rnacentral:rRNA from 1 species
UGGGGAAUAUUGGACAAUGGGCGAAAGCCUGAUCCAGCCAUGCCGCGUGUGUGAAGAAGGUCUUCGGAUUGUAAAGCACUUUAAGUUGGGAGGAAGGGCAUUAACCUAAUACGUUAGUGUUUUGACGUUACCGACAGAAUAAGCACCGGCUAACUCUGUGCCAGCAGCCGCGGUAAUACAGAGGGCGCAAGCGUUAAUCGGAAUUACUGGGCGUAAAGCGCGCGUAGGUUGUUUGUUAAGUUGGAUGUGAAAUCCCCGGGCUCAACCUGGGAACUGCAUUCAAAACUGACUGACUAGAGUAUGGUAGAGGGUGGUGGAAUUUCCUGUGUAGCGGUGAAAUGCGUAGAUAUAGGAAGGAACACCAGUGGCGAAGGCGACCACCUGGACUAAUACUGACACUGAGGUGCGAAAGCGUGGGGAGCAAACA